rnacentral:rRNA from 1 species
CCUUUAGGGACUGCGGAGGACAUUAUUGAAUUAAUGUAGAGUUUGGUUGUAGCUGGCUCCUAAUUAAACUUGGGGGCAUGUGCACACCUUUCUCUUUCAUCCCAUACACACCUGUGCACCUGUGAGACAGAUGUUUUGUGGGGGGGAAGGAACUUUAUUGGACCUUCUACUCCCCCUUGACUUCUGUCUACUUAAUUCAUAUAAACUCAAUUUAUUUUAAAACGGAUGUAAUGGAUGUAACACAUCUAAUACUAAGUUUCAACAACGGAUCUCUUGGCUCUCGCAUCGAUGAAGAACGCAGCGAAAUGCGAUAAGUAAUGUGAAUUGCAGAAUUCAGUGAAUCAUCGAAUCUUUGAACGCACCUUGCGCUCCUUGGUAUUCCUUGGAGCAUGCCUGUUUGAGUAUCAUGAAAUCUUCAAAGUCAAACCUUUUGUUAAUUCAAUUGGUUCUGCUUUGGUAUUGGAGGAUUAUUGCAGCUUCACACCUGCUCCUCUUUGUGCAUUAGCUGGAUCUCAGUGUUAUGCUUGGUUCCACUCAGCGUGAUAAGUUAUCUAUCGCUGAGGACACCCUGUUAAAAAGGGGUGGCCAAGGUAAAUGCAGAUGAACCGCUUCUAAUAGUCCAUUGACUUGGACAAUAUCUAAUUUAUGAUCUGAUCUCAAAUCAGGUAGGACUACCCGCUGAACUUAAGCAUAUCAAA